rnacentral:rRNA from 1 species
AACGUAGGAGACAAACGUUAUCCGGAGUUAUUGGGCGUAAAGAGCUCGUAGGCGGCCUGUUGCGUCUGCUGUGAAAUCCCGGGGCUUAACCCCGGGCGUGCAGUGGAUACGGGCAGGCUGGAGGCAGGCAGGGGAGAAUGGAAUUCCCGGUGUAGCGGUGAAAUGCGCAGAUAUCGGGAGGAACACCGGUGGCGAAGGCGGUUCUCUGGGCCUGUUCUGACGCUGAGGAGCGAAAGCGUGGGGAGCGAACAGG